rnacentral:ncRNA from 1 species
ACAGAGGAUCCCGAAAAUCUGAAAACAGAGUAGGGG